AACGAACGCUGGCGGCGCGCUUAACACAUGCAAGUCGAACGAGAAGGCGUAGCAAUACGCUUGUACAGUGGCGAACGGGUGAGGAAUACAUGGGUAACCUACCCUCGAGUGGGGGGAUAACCCGCCGAAAGGCGGGCUAAUACCGCGUACGCUUCCGAUCUUGCGGGAUUGGAAGGAAAGCUGUCCCUUGGGGAUGGCGCUCAAGGAUGGGCUCAUGUCCUAUCAGCUUGUUGGAGGGUAACGGCCUACCAAGGCAUCGACGGGUAGCUGGUCUGAGAGGACGAUCAGCCACACUGGCACUGCGACACGGGCCAGACUCCUACGGGAGGCAGCAAGUGAGGAAUAUUGCGCAAUGGGCGAAAGCCUGACGCAGCGACGCCGCGUGGGGGAUGAAGGUCUUCGGAUUGUAAACCCC
rnacentral:rRNA from 1 species